AUCAAACCUGCAGGGUAAAUCCCUGGAUGAGAUUGAAAUUGAAGGAAAAAGAAAGCAGCCACACUUGGUAACAGAAGAUACCAGGAUAUCUUAUGAAGAACCUAAAGUUGCGCCUGUGAAGAAACCUUGCCA